CGGGCCUCGGCUUCUCACCUGCGCAGCGAACGGUUGCCCAGCGCAGCCGGCUUCCCUGCGGAGCCCGCCCCUCCGCGCCUCCGCGUCCUCACCUUCUCCGCGUCCUCACCUGCAACCUCACGCUGCAACCGCCUUGCCCUGACGCGGCUUGGCUUCCCUCGGAGCACACCUGGGCCAGAAGUUUCAACUUUGUUCACAGAUUAAUGGGGACACAGUCACCGCCUGUGACAAUAGCCAAAUGCUGGCUACCAGGUCAGGAGCAAUUAUGUAACCUGCUGAGUACAUUUUAAUCUUCACAAUGAUGCUGGGAGACACCACUGGGACCAAGACAUAGAACAUUUCCACCACUCCAGAAGUUUCCUUGAUGACCCUUCCCCAUCAAUAGCCCUCAAGGUAAUCACUAUUCUGAUAUCUACCUACCAAUAUAGAUUCACUUUGAACUUUGUA